UGUGACCUGGGACCUCAGUCAGCAU
rnacentral:piRNA from 1 species